rnacentral:rRNA from 1 species
AAUCAACGCUGGCGGCGCGCUUAACACAUGCAAGUCGAACGAGAAAGGGGAGCAAUCCCUGAGUACAGUGGCGUACGGGUGAGUAACACGUGGGUGAUCUACCUCUUAGUGGGGGAUACUCUCUGGGAAACCGGACGUUAAUACCGCAUAAGCUCGAGAGAGGAAAGCAGCAAUGCGCUGAGAGAGGAGCCCGCGGCCGAUUAGCUAGUUGGUAGGGUAAAGGCCUACCAAGGCAAAGAUCGGUAGCCGGCCUGAGAGGGCACACGGCCACACUGGCACUGAAACACGGGCCAGACUCCUACGGGAGGCAGCAGUGGGGAAUCUUGCACAAUGGGGGAAACCCUGAUGCAGCGACGCCGCUUGAGCGAUGAAGCCCUUCGGGGUGUAAAGGUCUUUCGACGGGAACGAUAAUGACGGUACCCGGAGAAGAAGCUGCGGCUAACUACGUGCCAGCAGCCGCGGUAAUACGUAGGCAGCAAGCGUUGUUCGGAAUUACUGGGCGUAAAGAGUGCGUAGGCGGUUUCUGCAAGUUUGGUGUGAAAUCUCCCGGCUUAACUGGGAGGGUGCGCUCAAAGACUGUGAGGCUGGAGUGUGGGAGAGGUAAGCGGAAUUCCUGGUGUAGCGGUGAAAUGCGUAGAUAUCAGGAGGAACACCGGCGGUGUAGACGGCUUACUGGACCACAACUGACGCUGAGGCACGAAAGCGUGGGGAGCAAACAGGAUUAGAUACCCUGGUAGUCCACGCCCUAAACGAUGCAUACUUGGUGUGAGCGAUUCAUUUCGUUCGUGCCGGAGCUAACGCGUUAAGUAUGCC